rnacentral:rRNA from 1 species
UACGUAGGGAGCAAGCGUUGUUCGGAUUUACUGGGCGUAAAGGGCGCGUAGGCGGCAAUUCAAGUCAUCUGUGAAAUCUCCGGGCUUAACUCGGAACGGUCAAGUGAUACUGUCGUGCUAGAGUACAGAAGGGGCAACUGGAAUUCUCGGUGUAGCGGUGAAAUGCGUAGAUAUCGAGAGGAACACCUGCGGCGAAGGCGGGUUGCUGGGCUGAUACUGACGCUGAGGCGCGAAAGCCAGGGGAGCGAACGGG